rnacentral:rRNA from 1 species
UACGUAGGUGGCAAGCGUUGUCCGGAUUUAUUGGGUUUAAAGGGUGCGUAGGCGGCCUUAUAAGUCAGUGCUGAAAUAUCCCGGCUUAACCGGGAGGGUGGCAUUGAUACUGUAGGGCUUGAGUAAAGUUGAGGUUGGCGGAAUUGACGGUGUAGCGGUGAAAUGCUUAGAUAUCGUCAAGAACACCGAUAGUGAAGACAGCUAACUAAGCUUUAACUGACGCUGAGACGCGAAAGCGUGGGGAGCAAACAGG